AGGCACGGUGUGCAUGCCUGUAGUCCCACCUCCUCCUGAGGUGGGAGGAUCGCUUGAGUCCAGGAGUUCUGGGCUGCAGUGCGCUAUGCUGAUCGGGUGUCCGCACUAAGUUUGGCAUCAAUAUGGUGACCUCCCGGGAGUGGGGGACCACCAGGUUGCCUAAGGAGGGGUGAACCCGCCCAGGUUGGAAACGGAGCAGGUCAGAACUCCCGUGCUGAUCAGUAGUGGGAUCGUGCCUGUGAAUAGCCACUGCACGCCAGCCUGGGCAACAUAGCGAGACCCUGUCUCU
rnacentral:SRP_RNA from 1 species